AGAGUUUGAUCCUGGCUCAGGAUGAACGCUGGCGGCGUGCCUAAUACAUGCAAGUCGAGCGAACGGACGAGAAGCUUGCUUCUCUGAUGUUAGCGGCGGACGGGUGAGUAACACGUGGAUAACCUACCUAUAAGACUGGGAUAACUUCGGGAAACCGGAGCUAAUACCGGAUAAUAUUUUGAACCGCAUGGUUCAAAAGUGAAAGACGGUCUUGCUGUCACUUAUAGAUGGAUCCGCGCUGCAUUAGCUAGUUGGUAAGGUAACGGCUUACCAAGGCAACGAUGCAUAGCCGACCUGAGAGGGGUGAUCGGCCACACUGGAACUGAGACACGGUCCAGACUCCUACGGGAGGCAGCAGUAGGGAAUCUUCCGCAAUGGGCGAAAGCCUGACGGAGCAACGCCGCGUGAGUGAUGAAGGUCUUCGGAUCGUAAAACUCUGUUAUUAGGGAAGAACAUAUGUGUAAGUAACUGUGCACAUCUUGACGGUACCUAAUCAGAAAGCCACGGCUAACUACGUGCCAGCAGCCGCGGUAAUACGUAGGUGGCAAGCGUUAUCCGGAAUUAUUGGGCGUAAAGCGCGCGUAGGCGGUUUUUUAAGUCUGAUGUGAAAGCCCACGGCUCAACCGUGGAGGGUCAUUGGAAACUGGAAAACUUGAGUGCAGAAGAGGAAAGUGGAAUUCCAUGUGUAGCGGUGAAAUGCGCAGAGAUAUGGAGGAACACCAGUGGCGAAGGCGACUUUCUGGUCUGUAACUGACGCUGAUGUGCGAAAGCGUGGGGAUCAAACAGGAUUAGAUACCCUGGUAGUCCACGCCGUAAACGAUGAGUGCUAAGUGUUAGGGGGUUUCCGCCCCUUAGUGCUGCAGCUAACGCAUUAAGCACUCCGCCUGGGGAGUACGACCGCAAGGUUGAAACUCAAAGGAAUUGACGGGGACCCGCACAAGCGGUGGAGCAUGUGGUUUAAUUCGAAGCAACGCGAAGAACCUUACCAAAUCUUGACAUCCUUUGACAACUCUAGAGAUAGAGCCUUCCCCUUCGGGGGACAAAGUGACAGGUGGUGCAUGGUUGUCGUCAGCUCGUGUCGUGAGAUGUUGGGUUAAGUCCCGCAACGAGCGCAACCCUUAAGCUUAGUUGCCAUCAUUAAGUUGGGCACUCUAAGUUGACUGCCGGUGACAAACCGGAGGAAGGUGGGGAUGACGUCAAAUCAUCAUGCCCCUUAUGAUUUGGGCUACACACGUGCUACAAUGGACAAUACAAAGGGCAGCGAAACCGCGAGGUCAAGCAAAUCCCAUAAAGUUGUUCUCAGUUCGGAUUGUAGUCUGCAACUCGACUACAUGAAGCUGGAAUCGCUAGUAAUCGUAGAUCAGCAUGCUACGGUGAAUACGUUCCCCGGGUCUUGUACACACCGCCCGUACACACCACGAGAGUUUGUAACACCCGAAGCCGGUGGAGUAACCUUUUAGGAGCUAGCCGUCGAAGGUGGGGACAAAUGAUUGGGGUGAAGUCGUAACAAGGUAGCCGUAUCGGAAGGUGCGGCUGGAUCACCU
rnacentral:rRNA from 1 species